AUUGAACGCUGGCGGCAGGCCUAACACAUGCAAGUCGAACGAGUGGCGGACGGGUGAGUAAUGUCUGGGAAACUGCCUGAUGGAGGGGGAUAACUACUGGAAACGGUAGCUAAUACCGCAUACCAUCAGAUGUGCCCAGAUGGGAUUAGCUGGUUGGUGGGGUAACGGCGCACCAAGGAGACGAUCCCUAGCUGGGCUGAGAGGAUGACGAGGCAGACUGGAACUGUGGGACGGGCCAGACUCCUAAGGGAGGCAGCAGUGGGGAAUAUGGCACAAUGGGCGCAAGCCGGAAGCAGCCAAGCCGCGUGUAUGAAGAAGGCCUUCGGGUUGUAAAGUACUUUCAGCGGGGAGGCGUUACCCGCAGAAGAAGCACCGGCUAACUCCGUGCCAGCCGCCGCGGUAAUAC
rnacentral:rRNA from 1 species